UCUGCCUAUACAGCAUUAGCUAGCAGACCACAUGCUGGCUAUGGACCAUGCUGUGGGAUAGAGGAGGAAGAGAUCUCUGCUUAAGCAUUGAAUGGGGGGUUUGGGGG